rnacentral:rRNA from 1 species
UGUUUAUCAAAAACAUCGCCUCUNCGNCNNANAUUUAAGGUUAAACCUCGCCCAAUGUAUAAUAUGAUGAAUGGCCGCGGUACUUUGACCGUGCUAAGGUAGCGCAAUCAAUUGGCUUUUAAUUGGAGCCAGGUAUGAAUGGAGUUACGGAGUUUGGCUGUCUCUUAAUUAUUUUAUCGAAAUUACUAUGUAGGUGAAAAAGCCUACUAUUAGAAAAAGGACGAGAAGACCCUUAGAGUUUUUCCAAAAUUGGAUAUACAUUUAGUUUCCAAAGCAGUUUAGUUGGGGCAACAUAGGAGCAGUAACAGACUAAAAAUCUCCUAAAAAUAACAAAUCGAUUAUUUUAGAUGUGAAUAAACUNCCUUAGGGAUAACAGCAUAAUUUUAUAAAUAAGUUUGUGACCUCGAUGUUGGACUAGGANACUAUAAGGCUAGCCGCCUUUUAGGCAAGUUCUGUUCGAGACUAUUAAUUCCUACGUGAUCUGAGUUCAGACC